rnacentral:lncRNA from 1 species
UAGAGCACAGAGUGGGGGCUGAUGUGGCUCCUGCCAGUGCUUCUCUCUCCCUCCACUGACUGCAAUGUGACCCCAGUUGCUCUUUCAAAUGCUCAGUUUGAAAAUGAAAUAAACUCAUGAACAGUAUGUACCUUCAGCUGACAGAAGUAUAACUGAAUUUUCAGAGAAAAAGAAAAUUGAACUGGAGAUCACUAGUAGUAUCAUUUCCCCAUUUCUGUAUUAGAAUCAUUUUUUAAUAUGAUGCUCCAAGACAAAGCACAGCCCUGCUAGAAAAUGAAGGUUUCUGGAGAAGCAGUUUUUCUGGACAAGAGUGAAAUGAAUGUUGAAUGCCCUGCUGACUUUUCUUCAGAAGAGCAGGAAUGACUUUAAACUGUAUGAUGUGGUUUUCCUCUGUUCCUAUUUGUCCUGACAACUGAAAUUAAGGUCUUAUGCUUUGUAGGCUGGAGCCUCCACCUGUAAUUCCAUGGAGCCUGCAUCAGGAACAAGCUACCUCACAGAAGCAUUUUCCUAUGUUCUCUGGAAAUGCUGGACACAAAAUCAGAGAGAGGACACCUGUCCCUAUGUAACCAAGCAUUCCUCUGGCUCCUCACAAAGUACAAGACAGAGCCCUUUGAGUCAGGUGGGUAAGAUGCCAAGGCAUAUGGAAAUUUGGAGAUGGAAAUAGCAAGAGUUACUAACAGGGUUUCCAAUCACAGCUAUCUGCCAGCAUGAAUCAAGUGUCUGCACACUCAGCAUCAGUGUCCCUGGGGAAGAUGAAGAAAAAUAGAGACUGUUUGGACUGCAGAAACUGUUUACCAUCUCCUAUCAUCUGAACUGUGAAGAAAACAGAUAUGUUGG